GAAGAGAAAAUAAAAAGUCUAGUGGAAAGGAUCAAACGAUAAAAGAAGAAUAGAGGAAUAGAUGGUCCUUCUUAUCUGUUUUCCUUCCUUAUCGGAAAUCGACGACUGUUUAAUAAGACGAUUUGUGGUACAAAUCUCUAAGAGAUAGCCUUUGCAUUUUUUCAAUAUCCGUAGAAUGUUUCAACAUUUAUAUCCCCUUUAUUUCUGUUUUGUUUAUUUUCUUUCUUAUCUCAAAUUUACCUAUUCUUAAAUGCUGCCACUUUCCUGAUUUAAAGUACGUCGGAAUUUGUAUCCAUAUUUUUACAAGACGUUCAUUGUUAUUUGCACGUUAUCGUAAGUUAAUUAUUUAACUCGGUAAUAAAUUCAUUACGAAAGUACCUUUAACGAUAUACCUUAGUCUCCAGUAGUUCGGCUUAAAGUCAAUAAAUAACAUCAGAGAAGUGAAAGAGAAAGAGAAAGAGAGAAAGAGAAAGAGAUAUAUAUAUAUCGAAAGAAAAAGGAAGGAGCGUGUUCCUCCAUUCACGCGUAAUUUUACGCGACGCGAACGUCACGAGACUUGGGAGUUGAUUCACGAGAAAGAGGAAGGUGGUGUAGGCGAAAUGGUGGGGGAAAUAUGUGUCUCUGAUUUCUACGCUACGGUAAAACGAUCACGGUGAGGCAUCCCGCGGAUUUUUGGUUGAUAAUUGAACGGGAAGAAAAGAAGGGAAAGAAAAAAAAAGAAAAUAAAAGAGAGACAUGAUAUAUCUUAAUCAAAGAAGGAAGAAACCAAGAAGAGAGGGACAACUUUCUAUGGUCUCUUGAGAAUCUUUUACGUCUGACCUCGAAGCAUGUCUUCUCUCUUUGCGCGCUCGGCACCCUGUGGAGAAAACUUCCCGUCACGGAGAGGUCCUCCUCGCGGAUGCUGUUACUGCUGCUUCUGUUGCUUUUGCUCUUGCUUUUGCUGGCUGGACCGUACCGUUCUUCGAUUACCGUCGAGAAUCGUGCUUGUCGGUAUAAGUUAGACCACGAGAGUACAGAUAUAUUCAAUGAGAGAUAGAUAGAUAGAUAGAUAAAUUCAAAUAAAUAGAAAUAAAAAGAGAAAGAUAAGCAGGUAUACACGUUAAAUGGGUUUCCCUUUUGUAAGGAAGCAUAAUAAUCAAAAUGAACAUACAAAUUAUGAUUGUAUUAUAUAAUAUUUUAUGGAAAUAAUCAAGUUUAGAAGUCAUUUAACAACA
rnacentral:lncRNA from 1 species